rnacentral:rRNA from 1 species
GAUGAACGCUGGCGGCGUGCCUAAUACAUGCAAGUCGAGCGGUAAGGCCCUUCGGGGUACACGAGCGGCGGACGGCUGAGUAGCGCGUAGGAACGUACCCCAAAGUGAGGAAUAAGCACCAGAAAUGGUGUCUAAUACCGCAUGUGGUCUUCGGAUUAAAGCCUUCGGGCGCUUUGGGAGCGGCCUGCGUAUGAUUAGCUUGUUGGUGGGGUAAUGGCUCACCAAGGCGACGAUCAUUAGCUGGUCUGAGAGGAUGAUCAGCCAGACUGGGACUGAGACACGGCCCAGACUCCUACGGGAGGCGGCAGUAGGGAAUUUUCCACAAUGGACGAAAGUCUGAUGGAGCAACGCCGCGUGCAGGAUGAAUGCCUUCGGGUUGUAAACUGCUUUUAUAGGUGAAGAUUAUGACGGUAACCUAUGAAUAAGGAUCGGCUAACUCCGUGCCAGCAGCCGCCGUAACAC